AAGCAGGGGAUCGCAAGACCUUGUGCUCCUGGAGCGGCCGAUAUCUGAUUAGCUAGUUGGUGAGGUAAAGGCUCACCAAGGCAACGAUCAGUAGCUGGUCUGAGAGGACGACCAGCCACACUGGAACUGAGACACGGUCCAGACUCCUACGGGAGGCAGCAGUGGGGAAUUUUGGACAAUGGGGGCAACCCUGAUCCAGCAAUGCCGCGUGAGUGAAGAAGGCCUUCGGGUUGUAAAGCUCUUUGUCAGGGAAGAAAAGGUCGUGGCUAAUAUCCACGACUGCUGACGGUACCUGAAGAAUAAGCACCGGCUAACUACGUGCCAGCAGCCGCGGUAAUACGUAGGGUGCAAGCGUUAAUCGGAAUUACUGGGCGUAAAGCGUGCGCAGGCGGUUUCGUAAGUCUGUCGUGAAAUCCCCGGGCUUAACCUGGGAAUGGCGAUGGAGACUGCGAGGCUAGAGUUUGGCAGAGGGGGGUAGAAUUCCACGUGUAGCAGUGAAAUGCGUAGAGAUGUGGAGGAACACCGAUUGGCGAAGGCAGCCCCCUGGGUCAAAACUGACGCUCAUGCACGAAAGCGUGGGGAGCAAACAGGAUUAGAUACCUGGUAGUCCACGCCCUAAACGAUGUCUACUAGUUGUUGGGUCUUAAUUGACUUAGUAACGCAGCUAACGCGUGAAGUAGACCGCCUGGGGAGUACGGUCGCAAGAUUAAAACUCAAAGGAAUUGACGGGGACCGCACAAGCGGUGGAUGAUGUGGAUUAAUUCGAUGCAACGCGAAAAACCUUACCUACCCUUGACAUGGCAGGAAUCCUGGAGAGAUCUGGGAGUGCUCGAAAGAGAACCUGCACACAGGUGCUGCAUGGCUGUCGUCAGCUCGUGUCGUGAGAUGUUGGGUUAAGUCCCGCAACGA
rnacentral:rRNA from 1 species